CAGCCACACUGGAACUGAGACACGGUCCAGACUCCUACGGGAGGCAGCAGUGGGGAAUAUUGCACAAUGGGCGCAAGCCUGAUGCAGCCAUGCCGCGUGUGUGAAGAAGGCCUUCGGGUUGUAAAGCACUUUCAGCGGGGAGGAAGGCGUUAAGGUUAAUAACCUUGGCGAUUGACGUUACCCGCAGAAGAAGCACCGGCUAACUCCGUGCCAGCAGCCGCGGUAAUACGGAGGGUGCAAGCGUUAAUCGGAAUUACUGGGCGUAAAGCGCACGCAGGCGGUCUGUCAAGUCGGAUGUGAAAUCCCCGGGCUCAACCUGGGAACUGCAUUCGAAACUGGCAGGCUAGAGUCUUGUAGAGGGGGGUAGAAUUCCAGGUGUAGCGGUGAAAUGCGUAGAGAUCUGGAGGAAUAC
rnacentral:rRNA from 1 species